rnacentral:rRNA from 1 species
AUUGAACGCUGGCGGCAUGCCUUACACAUGCAAGUCGAACGGUAACAGGCCGCAAGGUGCUGACGAGUGGCGAACGGGUGAGUAAUGCAUCGGAACGUGCCCAGUCGUGGGAGAUAACGCAGCGAAAGCUGUGCUAAUACCGCAUACGAUCUAUGGAUGAAAGCGGGGGACCGUAAGGCCUCGCGCGAUUGGAGCGGCCGAUGUCAGAUUAGGUAGUUGGUGGGGUAAAGGCCCACCAAGCCAACGAUCUGUAGCUGGUCUGAGAGGACGACCAGCCACACUGGGACUGAGACACGGCCCAGACUCCUACGGGAGGCAGCAGUGGGGAAUUUUGGACAAUGGGCGCAAGCCUGAUCCAGCAAUGCCGCGUGCAGGAAGAAGGCCUUCGGGUUGUAAACUGCUUUUGUACGGAACGAAACGGUCUGGGUUAAUACCCUGGGCUAAUGACGGUACCGUAAGAAUAAGCACCGGCUAACUACGUACCAGCAGCCGCAGUAACAC